UUCCCCUAGUAACUGCGAGUGAAGCGGGAAAAGCUCAAAUUUAAAAUCUGGCGGUCUCCGGCCGUCCGAGUUGUAAUCUAGAGAAGUGUUAUCCGCGCUGGACCGUGUACAAGUCUCCUGGAAUGGAGCGUCAUAGAGGGUGAGAAUCCCGUCUUUGACACGGACUGCCAGGGCUUUGUGAUGCGCUCUCAAAGAGUCGAGUUGUUUGGGAAUGCAGCUCAAAAUGGGUGGUAAAUUCCAUCUAAAGCUAAAUAUUGGCGAGAGACCGAUAGCGAACAAGUACCGUGAGGGAAAGAUGAAAAGAACUUUGGAAAGAGAGUUAAACAGUACGUGAAAUUGCUGAAAGGGAAACGCUUGAAGUCAGUCGCGUUGGCCGGGGAUCAACCUUGCUUUUGCUGGGCGUACUUUCCGGUUGACGGGUCAGCAUCAAUUUUGACCGUUGGAUAAAGUCCAGGGGAAUGUGGCAUCUUCGGAUGUGUUAUAGCCCUUGGUCGYAUACAACGGUUGGGAUUGAGGAACUCAGCACGCCGCAAGGCCGGGUACUUGUACCACGUUCGUGCUUAGGAUGCUGGCAUAAUGGCUUUAAUCGACCCGUCUUGAAACACGGACCAAGGAGUCUAACAUGCCUGCGAGUGUUUGGGUGGAAAACUCGGACGCGUAAUGAAAGUGAAAGUUGAGAUCCCUGUCGCGGGGAGCAUCGACGCCCGGACCAGACCUUUUGUGAYGGAUCCGCGGUAGAGCAUGUAUGUUGGGACCCGAAAGAUGGUGAACUAUGCCUGAAUAGGGUGAAGCCAGAGGAAACUCUGGUGGAGGCUCGUAGCGAUUCUGACGUGCAAAUCGAUCGUCAAAYUUGGGUAUAGGGGCGAAAGMCU
rnacentral:rRNA from 1 species